rnacentral:rRNA from 1 species
GAUGAACGCUGGCGGCGUGCCUAAUACAUGCAAGUCGAGCGAACAGACGAGGAGCUUGCUCCUCUGACGUUAGCGGCGGACGGGUGAGUAACACGUGGAUAACCUACCUAUAAGACUGGGAUAACUUCGGGAAACCGGAGCUAAUACCGGAUAAUAUAUUGAACCGCAUGGUUCAAUAGUGAAAGACGGUUUUGCUGUCACUUAUAGAUGGAUCCGCGCCGCAUUAGCUAGUUGGUAAGGUAACGGCUUACCAAGGCGACGAUGCGUAGCCGAUCUGAGAGGGUGAUCGGCCACACUGGAACUGAGACACGGUCCAGACUCCUACGGGAGGCAGCAGUAGGGAAUCUUCCGCAAUGGGCGAAAGCCUGACGGAGCAACGCCGCGUGAGUGAUGAAGGUCUUCGGAUCGUAAAACUCUGUUAUUAGGGAAGAACAAAUGUGUAAGUAACUAUGCACGUCUUGACGGUACCUAAUCAGAAAGCCACGGCUAACUACGUG